rnacentral:tRNA from 1 species
UACUUCUAUAGGAAAGUAGUAAU